CAGUAGCCGCGGGAAUACGUAGGGUGCAAGCGUUAAUCGGAAUUACUGGGCGUAAAGCGUGCGCAGGCGGUUAUAUAAGACAGAUGUGAAAUCCCCGGGCUCAACCUGGGAACUGCAUUUGUGACUGUAUAGCUAGAGUACGGCAGAGGGGGAUGGAAUUCCGCGUGUAGCAGUGAAAUGCGUAGAUAUGCGGAGGAACACCGAUGGCGAAGGCAAUCCCCUGGGCCUGUACUGACGCUCAUGCACGAAAGCGUGGGGAGCAAACAGGAUUAGAUACCCAGUAGUCCCUGUCUCUUAUACA
rnacentral:rRNA from 1 species